GCGCCAGGGUCUAAGUCUCAGGGUACUGUUAGUGGUGCUCGAAUAAAUCUUCUUAGUCAGAAAUGUGGUAAAAACCAUCAGGGUAUCUGCAGAGUAGACAGUGAUAUAUGUUUUGGAUGUGGCAAGCCAGGCUAUAGAAUUAGAGAGUGUCCUUAGCUGGGUUUAUAGAGUCAGCAUAAUCAUACCCUAGCUCAGUCCGAUCGCUCAUUGCAGCAGUAUGCUGCAUCCAAUACC
rnacentral:lncRNA from 1 species